rnacentral:rRNA from 1 species
ACAUGUCUUUUUGAGAUUGAUUUGAAGUCGGGCCUGCCCACUGAGUACUUGAAGGGCCGCGGUAUCUUGACCGUGCAAAGGUAGCAUAAUCAUUAGUCUUUUAAUUGAGGGCUGGAAUGAAUGGUUUGACGAAGUAUUAACUGUCUCUUUGUAAAAUUGAUGAAUUUAACUUUUGAGUCAAAAGGCUUAAAUAAAGAUAAAGGACGAGAAGACCCUAUAGAGUUUUAUAUAAAUGAGUGAAUAAAUUUAUUUGGUUGUAAUAAUUUUUAUUUAUUAUUUAUAUUGUGUUGGGGUGACAUAAGGAUAUAAUUAACUCUUUAUUAAUAUAAGACAUAAAUUUAUGGAUAAUUGAUCCAUUAUUAGUGAUUAUAAGAUAAAAUUACCUUAGGGAUAACAGCGUAAUUUUUCUUAAGAGUUCAUAUUGAAAGAAAAGUUUGCGACCUCGAUGUUGGAUUAAGAAAAUGAAUUGGUGUAGCAGUUAAUUUAAUAAGUCUGUUCGACUUUUAAAAUCUUAC